GCAGAUCCAGGUCCCGCCUCUGAUGCUUUAUGAAAGCUGGCUUCGCUCUGUUCAUCACUCUGCUGAUCAGACUGACAUCAUGCUGCUCACCGUCUGCGCUCUGCUCCCUGCUCUGGCAGUGGUCAGCUCACAGAAAGUAGUGACGCAAAAGCCUCCAGUUAUAACAGUAGAUAAGGGGAACUCUGUCACUAUGGACUGUAACAUCGCAAAGGAUCAAGGCAACAAAGUCUCCUGGUAUAAACAGAUUUCACCAGCAGCUCCAGAGUUUGUGUUGAGAUUUUAUCAUUCUCACUCCGCUCCUGAUAAAUACGGAGACAAUUUUUCAUCCACACGCUUCACAUCUAAAGCCUCAUCAAGCGUCGACUACCAGUUAAUAAUCAGUAAUGUGGAGGUGGGAGACUCAGCAGUGUAUUACUGUCAGACAUGGGAUGACUCUACUAGUACAGCUGUAUUCGGCCAAGGAACAAAGCUGAUCAUCAGCGGUAAGUAA